rnacentral:rRNA from 1 species
CGGACUACCGGGGCUUUGUGAUGCGCUCUCAAAGAGUCGAGUUGUUUGGGAAUGCAGCUCUAAAUGGGUGGUAAAUUCCAUCUAAAGCUAAAUAUUGGCGAGAGACCGAUAGCGAACAAGUACCGUGAGGGAAAGAUGAAAAGAACUUUGGAAAGAGAGUUAAACAGUACGUGAAAUUGUUGAAAGGGAAACGCUUGAAGUCAGUCACGUUGGCUUGGAAUCAGCCUUUGCUUUUGCUUGGUGUAUUUCCUGGUUUUAACGGGUCAGCAUCAAUUUUGAUCGGUGGAAAAAGGUCAGGGGAAUGUGGCAUCUUAGGAUGUGUUAUAGCCCCUGGUUGUAUACAUCGGUUGGGAUUGAGGAACUCAGCACGCCGAAAGGUCGGGUUUCCGAACCACGUUCGUGCUUAGGAUGCUGGCAUAAUGGCUUUAAUCGACCCGUCUUGAAACACGGACCAAGGAGUCUAACAUGCCUGCGAGUGUUUGGGUGGAAAACCCGAGCGCGUAAUGAAAGUGAAAGUUGAGAUCCCUGUCGUGGGGAGCAUCGACGCCCGGACCAGACCUUCUGUGACGGAUCCGCGGUAGAGCAUGUAUGUUGGGACCCGAAAGAUGGUGAACUAUGCCUGAAUAGGGUGAAGCCAGAGGAAACUCUGGUGGAGGCUCGUAGCGAUUCUGACGUGCAAAUCGAUCGUCAAAUUUGGGUAUAGGGGCGAAAGACUAAUCGAACCAUCUAGUAGCUGGUUCCUGCCGAA